rnacentral:lncRNA from 1 species
UUAAGUCUAAACCAAGAAGACGUGUUUCAAAAGCAAAACGUGGAAUUAAAUUGAAUACAUGCAAUGCAAGGGUACACAGUCAAAACCACCCAUUUAAUUCUCCUGCAAACACCUUUUUUUCUCACAAUAAGUGUCAGCUUUUGAAGCAUGGUCCUUAAUUCGAGCAUAUCACGUGGUGAAGCUAUAGCUACCUCCAUAUUGAAGAACAAGAAUUUUCUCUAAUCCAAAGAGAAGAACACCUUUUGUUUUGUUAACUAGGUCGUUGCAUAGUCUAAGGAACGGAAUGUUACACUUUUAAUUACUAGCUAUAUACCUCCAUAUUUCCCGCACCAUUUAUAUAUAUGUUCAUAAUUAAAAUAAUAUUAUUAUACUACUAGUUGUCAAGUAGAAUUGAAGUGGAAUUAAUGAGGUUUGGUGAAAUUUC